UGUAACUAUAGAAACUAUAAUUAGUUUAUUUUAUAGUUUAUGAUGUUGCAUAUUACCAGGAUGUUCAUUUGCUAAUGUUGAACAUCCUAAAGGCGAAUACAGUAUUUUUUUAUGUUUUUUAUAUGGAUUUAUAUCACGUUUACGUAUACGUUGUGCAGAUUUUGUGCAUAUUUGUUUAUUAGAUGUGAUGAUGCGAGGGUUUAUGUUGCACGACUUAGUAGCAGUUAUUGGUAAUGUUGAUGUUGUUUUUGGUUCUGUAGAUCGAUAAGCUAUUUAUUUAUAUACAAAAAUGAAAGAUGAAUCUAAAAAUUGGUGCGGAGGGGUUUGAUUUUUGUUGGGGUUCUGUCUUACCUGCUAUUUGUAUAGUUUAUUUAACUUUUUGUUUAUGUGGAUUAUUUUGUAUUAUGUUUGGUAGUUUUGUUUUUAUUGAUUAUUGUUUUAUUUGUUUUUUUUCUUGUCUUGUAUUUUGUUUAGUAUGCUUGUUGUGCGAUUUAUUUGUAGAUUCAUUACGGGGUUUGUUUGAUGUUUGUUGUUUUAUACGUUGUAUUCAAUAUUGUUUUGUAUGGUUUAUAAUUAGUGAAUUACUUCUUUUUUUAUCUUUAUUUUAUGUAGUUUUCAGUUUAGUUUUAUUUGUGAGUGUUGAAUUUGCAUUUGUAUUUGUUAUGCCUAUUAUGUUUAGUUGUUUAAUUUGUGAUUUUGGUUUUGUAUUUUAUUGAUAUUUUAUUGAUAUUUUUAAUUUAUUAAUUAAUACAUUUUUAUUAUUUGUAAGUGGUUUAUUUGUUAAUUUUGUUUUAUUUUUAUUUUGAUUUCGUUUUUUUUUAUGUGUUUUAUUUAUGUUAUGAGUCGGUAUAUUAUUUGGCUUUUUGUUUAUGUGAAAUCAAGUUUGAGAGUUUUCAUUAUUAUUUGUGACUUGUAGUUGUGGCGUAUUUGGAUCAAUACUUUUUUUAAUCGAUUUAUUGCAUUUUAGUCAUGUCUUUUUAGGUAUAUUUUUGUUAUUUUUAUGUUUUAGUCGUUGUUUUAAUUUUUUAUGUAUGGAUACACGUUUUGUAUUUCUAUAUGUAGUGUGCCUAUAUUGGCAUUUUGUUGAUUGCGUUUGAUUUUUUUUAUUACGAUUUGUAUAUUUUGAUGUUUUAAGUGUGGUUUACUUAUAUGCAUAAAGGCUCAAUUUUGAAUUUUUAAAUUUUAUUCUAAAAAGCGGAGAGGAAAGAAAAGGCUUUUAACUUCAGGUUGUUUAUUGCGUAUUUAUGGUGUGGGUUUUAGUUUAGGUUUUUUUAUUUGUAUGCAGAUAAUUUGUGGUGUGUGUUUAGCAUGAUUAUUUUUUAGUUGUUUUAUAUGUACUAAUUGAUAUUUUGUUUUAUUUUUGUGAGAUUUUGAUUUGGGAUUUGUAAUACGAAGCACACAUAUUUGUUUUACAUCGUUGUUAUUUUUUCUUCUUUAUGUUCAUAUAUUUAAGUGUAUAGUAUUAAUAAUUUUAUUUGAUACACAUAUUUUAGUAUGGGUGGUAGGUUUUGUGAUAUAUAUAUUUAUAGUAAUAAUAGGUUUUAUUGGCUAUGUUUUACCAUGUACAAUGAUGUCGUAUUGGGGUUUAACAGUGUUCAGUAACAUUUUAGCAACUGUCCCAGUUAUUGGUACUUGACUUUGUUAUUGAAUAUGAGGUAGUGAGUAUAUUAAUGAUUUUACAUUGUUAAAAUUACAUGUGUUGCAUGUGCUAUUACCUUUUGUAUUAAUACUUGUAAUAUUUAUGCAUUUGUUUUGUUUACAUUAUUUUAUGAGUUCAGAUGGUUUUUGUGAUCGAUUUGCAUUUUAUUGCGAACGUUUAUGUUUUUGUAUGUGAUUUUAUUUACGAGAUAUGUUUUUGGCUUUUUUGAUAUUAUUUUUUGUAAUUUAUUUUAUUUUUAUAAAUUGAUAUUUUGUUUUUCAUGAAGAAUCUUGAGUUAUAGUUGAUACAUUAAAAACAUCUGAUAAGAUUCUUCCUGAGUGAUUUUUUUUAUUUUUAUUUGGUUUUUUAAAAGCUGUACCAGAUAAAUUUACUGGUUUAUUAUUAAUGGUUAUUUUAUUAUUUUCCUUAUUUUUGUUUAUAUUAAAUUGCAUAUUAUGAUUUGUUUAUUGUAGAAGUUCAUUGUUGUGAUUUACAUAUUCAUUAGUUUUAUUUUAUAGUAUAUUUAUGAGUGGUUUUUUAGCACUGUAUGUUAUAUUAGCAUAUCCUAUAUGAAUGGAAUUACAAUUUUGAGUGUUGCUUUUGUUUAUGUUAGUUGUAUGUAGAUUAGAUUAAAAAUUUAUAUAUUUUUUAUUAAGCGUUAAUAUAUUAAAUUUUAUUUAGAAUAGUAUUAAUAAUCAAAGGGUUGGAAGAAAUUUGCGAAAGAAAGGGAUCUUAGAAAGGAAAUUUUAGUUUAAGACCGAGAAGGGGAGAAGGGAGAGAGAGAUUCGUGUUAUUUAAUUUUUAUGGAUUAAUUGCGUAUUACUGUAUAACAUAUUUAAAUGUCUAUAUUUUAUUUUGUAUUGUAUUUAUGUAUUAUAUGGCUUUUUUAUUUUGUUUUUGCAUUUUAUUAGAUUUUAUAUUAUUUGGAAGUCUUUUAGUAGGAGAUGCGUUUAUGGAUGUUUUUUUUUUACGUUAUCUAUUAUGCUUUUUGGAGUGUUUUUCAUUAUUAUGUAGAUGUAUAUCUACUUUUUUACGAAUGUUUUGUAAUCUUUUGUCUUCGCAUUUUUUGAUGCUUAUGUUUUGUGAUUUUGUAUAUUUUUUUAUUGUAUUUCUAUUAUUUUUUUUAAUGUGUGAUAUUAUUUAUUUUAUGAUAUUUUCAUUCGCCAUGCUAUUUUGCAUAAUAUUUUAUUUAUUUUUAUAUGCAUUAGAUAUGUUUUGCGCAUUAUUACAAAUAUUUAUAUUUUGUAAUAUGAUAAUGCAAUUAAUCAUGGAUUUUUUAUUGUUAUUAAUUUUUCAUUAAUUUAUAGAAUUAAAUCGAAUAAGUUAAUUAUAUCAAAAAAUAGUAUAAAUAUACUACAACUUAAUAUAAAAAAUAGGUUUGAAAAUCGCACAGUAUGUAAUCGUACAACUCAGAAUCCUAUAAAUUGAUAAGAAAAUAUAAAGAUGUUAAUUAUUAGUCUAAAAUAAAAAAUAUAAAUAAUAACCAACCAUAUUAUUGAAAAGAAAAUAAUACAAAUUCCCAUAUAACUUAAGUGAAGUAGUAAACAAAAUACUUUUAAAAAAAAACCAAAUACUAUUGGAAUAGCACCAAUACAUAAAAAAAUACUUGCUAAUAAUACACUAAUUAAUAAAUUAUUAAAAAAGCUAAAAAAAAUAAAGUUAAUUAAAAAAUAAUUUUCAUUAUAUUUAAUAUCGAACAUAUUAUAUACUAUAAAAAAAUAAUAUAAAAUUAUUAAUAUAAUCAGACUUAAUGAGUAAAUUAAAUGAAAAUUUAGAUACAUAUAAAAGAUGUAAUUUUUAUUAGAAAUAAAUAUUAAAAAUAAAAAACUAAAAUUAUUAACGCUAAGUACAAAUAAAAGACUUACAAUUGCAAAACUAUUUAAUCCAAUUAACACGCAUGUAAUGCAUUGUAUUAUAAUAAGUUUUAUAAAUAUUAUAUAAAAGUAAAUAAAGCAAAUAAGCAAAAUAAUAAGUAUAAAGCAAAAUAAGACAUAAAAUGUUAGCAUGUAGAUAAAUAUAAACACUCCAAGCCGAAUGUAUAAUUGUUCUAAAAAUAAAAUCAAUAUUGCAAUAUAUAAUUUAAAUAAUAUAAGUAAUAUAUAAAAUAAGCAUAAUAUACCUAAUCAUUCUUCAUCAAAUAUUAGAAAACAAAAAUCACAGAGAUAAAAACAGUAAUUUAGUAACAUAUAAUAUAGCAAGACAAAUAAUAAUAUAAAGUUUAUUAAAUUUAUCAUAUAAUAAUAUCAUAAUAUUAGUAUUUUAUAACCGAAUCUACUUGAUAUUAAUAUAAGAAAAAGUAAUAAGCUAAAUAAUUCAAAUAGUAUUGAAAUAAAAAGUAUAUGUAUUACAUUUAAAAACAUAAAAAUUAUUAUAUAUUGUAUAAUUAUUAUCAUGAAUACGAAUCUAGUAUCAAAGUUUAAAAAACAAAAAAGAAAAAAAAAGCAAAAUAAAAAAAGUAGUAAAAAGAUAAAGCAUAUAUAUGAGUCUAAAAUUGUUAGUAUUAUUAUGUUAAUAAUUACAAUUCAUAUUAAAUCAAAUGAUAAAUAAAAAAGUGAAUUAUAAUCACAUAAGAUAAUAAAACUAUAAAGUAAUAAAAAUAAUAUUAUAUGUAUUAAGUAUAGAAACAGAAGGAUUUCGAAAGGAGAGGACAGUUUAAGGAUUUUGAGGAGAAAUUUCGAGGGGAAAGGGGGGAACCAGAAGAACAUAGAAGUCAGUUUUCGAUAUUAAAAUAAUAUAGCAAUUAUUUUUGUAGUGAACAGUCAAAUAAAAGUAAGAACGCACAUGUAGAAUAAAAAAAUAAGUAUAAAUGCUUGCGCUGUUGUAAUUUUUAGUCUAUAACCAAUUACCCUUGGAUAAAAAAACCCAAUAAUUAAGAUAAUUAUAGCUUUAAAACAUAUAAAUAAGCCCCCAAAACAGAGACUGGCUAAUAAUAAUGUUGUCAGUAACACAUGAUUUAUUUCAAGAACGGAAUAUAAUAUAAAAAAGAAUCCUGAUAGUUCUGUAAUCAACCCAGCGACUAAUUCACUUUCACAUUCCAUAUAGUCGAAUGGUAGUUUUAAUCCGUCUAGAAGCAUACUUAUUCAAAAUAUACAUACAAAUAAGAUGCCGGCAAUAUAAAAGUUUGUAAUAUAAAUCUGCCCAACACAAAUGUCUUUAAUGCAAAAAAAGCUAAAGUAGUCUAACGAAUAUACAGUUGUGUAUAAUAAAAAUAAGCCACUUUCAGAAAUAAUACUAAAAAACAUAGUGCGCAUUGCAGAAAGAUAUACAAAGCAACUAGAGAAUAAAAAGCAACCUACAAAAAAUGUGCUAAACAUAUUACUGAAAACAUGUACGCACAUCAUUAUUGUAAUAGUGAAUCCUGUGUCUAAUAACAGUAUAAAACCUAUAGGAAAAUAAAACCAACCAAUAAAAAUGCAGCAUGUAGUAAUUAACAUUGCACCUAUUAAGUAAAUGAUUUCAAAACUAAUUACAAAAAUGAUAAAUUUAAUAAAAAGUUUUAUUCCGUCAGUUAUUGGUGUUAAAAUUCCAAAAAAACAAAGGGCCGGACCUAUUCGUAUUUGAACUAAAGCUAAAAUUCUUCUUUCACAAAGACUUACAAAGCCGGUCAAGACAAGAACAACUAAAAUGUCAAUAAUAAUAAUGAUAAUAAUAUCUAUAUUUAACAUUUUUAAUUAUGGCUUUUAUUUUAUCAUUUUGAAUGAUUUUUUUACUGGAUUCUGUAAUUGUUUUAUUAUCUUUUGUGUGUUUUGUAUGUAUAUGGAUAUGCGCUUUAUUAUUUUCAGCAUGUUUAUUAGUGUCGAAAUUAAAUAAUGUUUAUUGUACUUGGGAUUUCACGGCAUCUAAGUUUAUUGAUGUGUAUUGAUUCAUUAUUGGAGGUAUGUUUUCAUUAGGACUUUUACUUAGGUUAUGUUUGUUAUUAUAUUUUGGUCAUUUAAAUUUUGUUAGUUUUGAUUUAUGCAAAGUUGUUGGAUUUCAAUGGUAUUGAGUCUAUUUUAUUUUUGGAGAAACAACAAUAUUUAGUAAUUUAAUUUUGGAAAGUGAUUAUAUGAUUGGUGAUUUACGUUUAUUACAGUGUAAUCAUGUUUUAACUUUAUUAAGUUUAGUUAUAUAUAAAUUAUGAUUAUCUGCUGUUGAUGUUAUACAUUCAUUUGCAAUUUCAAGUUUAGGUAUUAAAGUAGAGAACCUGGUCGUUGUAAUGAAAUAGUUUUAUUUUCAUCAAAUAAUGCUACAGUGUAUGGGCAAUGUAGUGAACUUUGUGGUGUAUUACAUGGAUUUAUGCCAAUAGUGAUUUGUUUUAUAUAGGUAUAUAAUCUAUAUCAUAAUAUUAGGGGAAAGAAGGACUGAGUCGAAUAUUUGAUUUAUUAUGUAUUAGGAGUUAUGAUUUUAUAUUAUGAUGAUUUGAUUUAGACUUUAUUUUAUAUGAUUUCGUUUUUGAUUUUGUAGUGUGUAUAACUUUUAUUUUUGUGUUUGUCUUAGGUUUUUUUCUUAGAAUAUUUUUUAGUUUUGUAUUUGUGUUAUUAUUUAUAGUUUUUUUUGGUUUAUUUAUGCUUACGUUUAUGUAUAUAGGUUAUUUUAUAUAUUAUAUUUAUAUAUUAUAUAAUUUUAUAUGUUAUUUUUUUUGUUUUAGUAUUUCGUAUUUAUUAUAUUAUAUUGAGUUUUUUACAUAUUUAUUAUGUUUUAUAUUUAUAGAUUUUAUAUCGUUUUCUAUCCAUUUAAUUUCUUAUUUUGGCAUUAUUUAUAUAUUUAAUGUUAUAUUUUGUUCGUAUUUAUUUUGUCUAUUUUAUUUUAUAAUUUGUUUUAUAUUUUGUUUUAUAUUUUUUGUUAUUCGAUGUUUAUUUAUAAUAGUUUAUGAUUUUUUGUUUUUUAAUUUUGAUAUAUAUUUAUCAUUUUUAAUGUGUGAUAUGUUGUAUAUCGAUUAUAUAUGUUUUUUAUUGAUAUAUUUUGGUUUUAUAUUUUCAUUUAUAUUAGGCUUUUUUUGUUUUAUAUUUGUUUUAAAUUAUGUUUUUUUAGUAUUAUUUUUUGUCUUGGCGUUAUUUUUUGGGUUUUUAUUUUUAUCAUAUGGUAUUUUUAUAUUUUUUAUUUAUUAUUUUUUUUGAUUAUUCGUUAUAUAUAGUCGUACAUGUUUUACAUUAGUGCAAUCGGUAAUUAUAUUUUUUAAAUUUUUAUACUUUGAUGUUUUUUUUAUAUUUAUAUUUUUAUUGAUAUUGUUUAUUAUUUGUUUUUUUGGUUUCUUUUUAAAAGAUUUUUUAUUUUUGAAUUUUUUUUUUGAUAUGUUUAUUGUAUUAAUAAGUUAUGAUGUGAAUAAUUAUUGUGCAUUUUAUAAUCAUUAUCAACAGUUUUGUGUUACUCAAUUAUUGUCUAUUUAUAUGUAAAAAAAUAAAAAUAAAGAUUGUCAAAAAUAUAUAAAAAAAACAAAGCAGAAACACAAUAUUAAAAACAGGUAGUCUAAAACUAUAUGCGCAAAGUCAACUAGUAAUAAAUAUAAAACCAUUACACAAGGUAUUCAGGUUGAGAAGUAGAAAAAGCAGUAUAGGCUGAAUACGAAUAGAUUAACAAAGAAUAAACAAUAGUCUCAAAAUAAAAACACACAGAACAGUGCGCAUAAAAACAAAAUUAAGCUUGCUAAUAAUAGCAUUCCGUAGAGCAUGAAUGAACUUCAAAAUAAAAAUGACACAGGAUAGUCAGAUAUUCUACGAGGAAAUGCAUACAUACCUAAACUAUGCAUUGGGAAAAAAACCAUAUUAGAUCCUAUAAAAAGCGUACUAAUAAAGUAAAACAUUCAGAAUAAAUAUAAUUCUAUAGGUAGUCAUUUUGCAAGAAAGUGAAUAAAUCCUGCAAGAAAUCCAACAACAGCACCUAAAGAUAAAACGUAGUGAAAGUGACCGACUACAAAGUAUGUGUCAUGUAACAUGAUGUCUAUACCAACAUUCGCCAAAAAAAGCCCUGUUACAGCACCAGACAAAAACAUAAAAAUAAACAUUAUAACAAAAUAUAUCUCAAAUGUAAUUAUAAUAUCUGUAUAAAUAAAACUAUAGAUCCAAUUGAAUAGCUUGACACAUGUGGGUAGGCCAAUCAAAAUAGAUACUCCACCAAAAUAUGCUCUAGAAUCAACAUCCAUCCCUACAACAAACAUGUGAUGCGCUCACACAAACAUACCUAAGAUCGCAAUUAAUAUCAUUGAAUAUAUCAUUGCAACCGCACUGAACACACAGCGAAAUCCGACUAUUUCAAUAAUAGUAGAGAUAAGACCAAAUACAGGUAAUAAUAUUAUAUAAACUUCAGGAUGACCAAAAAAUCAAAACAGGUGUUGAAAUAGAAUCAAGUCACCACCACCAACAACAUCAUAAAAUGAAGUAUUAAAGUUUCUGUCACAUAAAAUCAAGGUCACACCUCCCGCUAAUACUGGUAAAGUUAUUAUUAACAAAAUAGCAGUUAUAAGCGCAGCUCAAAUAAAUAGCGAUCACGAUAAAAAACUAAAGAAUUUUCUACGACAGCAAAAUACAGUACCAAGUAAAUUUAUAGAGUUUAAAAUACUUGAUACACCUAAUAGAUGAACCGCAAACAUAACAAAGUCACAAGCCAAACUUGAAUGAAAGUCUAUACAUAUUAAAGUAGGAUAUAGCGUCCAACCCACACCCAUACCUUCCUCAGUCAAAAAACCGCUUACAACACAGCCAAAUCCGGCCAAGUACAUUCAAAAACUCAUGUUGUUUAAACGUGGAAAAACCAUAUCGGGAAAACCUGCCAUAACAGGAAUAAAGUAGUUCACAAGACCUCCCAUCAUAACAGGCAUUAUAAACGCAAAAACCAUUAUCAAUCCAUGCGAGGUAAUUAAAACGUUAUAAAACUGGUAAUCUCCAAACAAAACACCACAUCCUAUAAUAGAAAGUUCAAGUCUAAUAAAUAGUGAAUAAACAUAUCCAACGAAUCCUGAUAGGAUUGCAACUAAGAGAUAACACAAACCAAUCAUUUUAUGCGAAACACUUAAACACACCAAACAAAGUCAAAACAUUUUCAAUAUAAAAAAUUUAAAUUUAAUUUGUUUGAUUUUAUAUAUAGUAAUAAUCCAAUCAAUUUUCGCUCUCGCCUUUCUCCCACCCCCUUCUGCUUUCUUCCCUCCAACCUCUCUUCUUCCCCUCCCUACCUUUCUUCCCCUUCUAUUUCAGUUCCUUCUCCCCCUCCCUCCUAAUCCCUGCUCUUCCAAAGUCUCUCUUUCUUCCCCUAAAGUCUUUCCCUGCUUUCUAAUUUACUGAUUAAAAUAGUAUACGUGCUUGGUUAAUGUGUAUUGACUUCAGUCAAAAUAUAAAAGUAGAGCUAGAUUAAAGUAACUAAAUAAUAAAAUUUAAUAGAUGUUUAAGUUUAUAUUGAUUACUUUGAUUUUUUUGUUAUUAUUUUUAAUAGUCAUAUUUAUAUUUAUUAAUUAUAGUUUUUGUUUAGCAUUGCAAUUAAAUUAUGUUUAUAUAAAUAUAUAUCUAAAUUAUAUUAGUCUAUGAUUUAUUUUUUUCAUGGGAGUUAUUGUAUAUUUUCUUGUUUUUCUUUUGUCACGUAAGUUAGUGUCUUACACAAAAUAUUUUUAUGUUUUAUGCUCGUAUUUAUUUAUAUUUUUUGAUGUUGUAUUUAUAAUUUUAAUAGAUGACUUUAUGUGUUUUAUGAUUUUAUUUGAAAGUUUAUUUUUUCCAAUUUGUUUUGUAAGUUUAUUUUUUAAUUUUAAUAAUAGAUUUAUAUUUGCUAUAUUUUAUUUGGUAGUAUUUAGUUCCUUAAGCUCAAUAAUGUGUAUUAUGAUUUGUAUAUUAAUUAUUUUUCAUUUUAAUGUUUUGAGUCUGCAUAGUUUUGUUGAUGUGUGUAUUUUUGAUAGUUUAUACUUAGGUAUGUAUAUAUGAGUGUUAUUAUUUAUAAUGUUUGCUAUUAAGUAUCCAAUCUGACCAAUGCAUGUAUGAUUACCAGAAAUGCAUGUAGAAGUCAAUACUGAAUUAAGUGUGUUGUUAGCAAGUGUUGUGUUAAAAAUAGGUUUUUUCGGUCUUUAUAAAUUUUUAUUUUUGAGUUUUAAUCAACUUUCGUUAUGGUUUUUAGGUUUUGUGGAUUGUUUAGUGAUGUUAGGUUUGACAUUUUUGGCUAUUACGUUAUUAUUUUUGAGUGAUUAUAAAAAAAUAAUCGCAAAUUGGUCUGUUAUACAUACGGGUAUAGCCUUAAUUUUAUUGUGACAUAACGAUAUAUUGUUUUUAGGUUUAUUGAUUUUUUGUAAUUUAUCACAUAUAAUAAGUUCUGCAUUAAUGUUUAUAAUGGUCGGAUAUAUGUAUGAUAAUUAUGGUAUUCGAAUAUUUUUAUUAUUGGUGUCUUUUUUUGGUAUUAGUUUGUGGAGUUCAUUAUUUUUAGGGAUUUUUUUAUUUAAUAUAGAUUUCCCAUUUAUGCUGUUAUUUUAUGUUGAUAUAUUUUUAUUGUAUGGGCUAAUUUCAUUAUCAUUUGUAUAUAUUUGUUGUUUUUACAUAAUAAUAUUAGCAAUAUUUCUAUCAUCGAUAUAUAUAUAUAUAUGCUUAAGUUUUUAUUCUUUUAUAUGAGUAGAUAAAUACUUACGUUUAGAUUUAACAAUAAAUGAUAUUUAUCUAUAUUUUGUUAUAAGCGUGAUGGUUAUUUUUCUAUUUUAUUUAAUUUAUUUGUUAUUUUAAUUAAUUUUAUUACACUAUUUUUUUUUCCGUCCAGAUCUUUUAACAAAUCCCAUUCUCCCCCCUUUUCCUUCCCCCCUUUUUUAAAACCUUAAAAGUCCCCUUCUGCGAACUUCUUAUGUCUCGUGUUCUGUCUCCCCUGUCUCCCGCUCUGCCCUCUUUCCCUCUUUUCCAAACUAAUCCUAUUGACCUUUAAUCUAAAGUUAAAAACGUGAAUUUUUGAGUGAGUUGCUUUUUGUUAUUUUAGGGAAAAGCCACGAACCAAGCUCCGGAACCGACGGAAUUGCAAAGAAGAAAAGAAAUUUUGUAUGCUUUUGGGGAUCCUAGUUGAAGGAAUUUUGGGGGGAGAGCCAGGAGAAAGAUUUCACGGAAUUUGUUUUCGUAAGCUAAAUUAUAAAUUUUAAUAUUAUAAGUAUUUAAUAUUCGACUUUAUUUUUAUAUUCAGAAUUAAAAAUGUUUAUGUUUUUUUUUAUGUUUUUUUUCAUGUUUGGAUUUGUUUGUGGUAUAUUUUUUGUUGGAAGGCAUAUGUUAAGUUUUUGAUUAUCAAUAGUUUUAUGUGUUUUUUUAGUUUUAUCUGUACUAUUUAGUUGUUUUUGUCUUAGUGUAUGUAUAUAUGGGUACUGCUUUUAUGAUUUUUGUUUAAUUUUAAUUUUAGACUUUUGUUUUGUUUGAUUAACUUUUUAUUGUAAUGGUUUUUAUAUAUUUAUUUUAUAUUUAAUUGAUAUUGUGUUUUGUUUUAUAGUUUUUUAUGCAUUCUAUUAUAUGUAUUUUGAUGUAAUGUUAGCCCGUUUUUUCCAUAUAUUUUGAUGAUUUGUUUUGUGUAUGAAUUUUUUUAUAUUGUCGUAUGACUUUUUAACAGCUUAUUGUGGUUGAGAGUUGUUAGGUUUAUUUUCAUUUUUUUUGAUAUCAUAUUUUUGAUAUAGAUUUUAUGCGUUAAAAUUUGCUUUUAAAGCUUUUUUCAUAAGUAAAAUAGGCGAUGUUUUGCUAUUAUUAGCAUUUACAAUAUCAUUUUUAAUAAAUGGCUAUUGUGUGAUUACAUUUUAUUUUUUAUCGUUUUUAUGUGUGGAUUAUGUUUUAUUAUUGUUUAUAAUAAUUUUAUUAUUAUUGUGUGGUUUUACUAAGUCUACUCAAUUUGGUUUACAUAUUUGACUGCCAGAUGCAAUGGAAGGACCAAUCCCAGUGUCUGCACUAAUUCAUGCUGCAACAUUAGUUGUAUGUGGUAUUAUAUUGGUUAGUUUUAUUUUUUGAUGUUUUGAUUUUUGAUUUUGUUAUUUUUAUGGAUUGCUUGGUUGAGCUAGUUUGAUUUUAGUAAUGAUGAGUUUAUGUGUUUUUUAUAAUUUUGAUGUAAAAAGGUAUGUUGCAUUUAGUACUAUAUGCCAAAUAAGUUUUUCUAUGUUUUGUUGUUUAUGUCUAGAUCUAUAUGUAGGUUGUUUAAUUUUUUGUUAUCAUAUGUUUUAUAAAGCAACUUUAUUUAUUGUGCUAGGUGUUUGAAUUCAUUUUUUUUUUGGAUUGCAGGAUAUACGUUGUUAUUUUUUUACAUAUUUUUGUGGUUGUAUUUUAGCACGUAUGUUAUUGAUAUUUGCUUUGUUAAACUCAUGUUCAUUAUGAUUUUUGUGUGGAUUUUAUUGUAAAGAUCUUCUUUUAUGUAUGUUAAUGUUAACAUCAUUUUUUUUUAUAUUAGAGUUUUUGUGUGUGUGUAUAUUUUUUAUAUUUUUUACUGUGUUAUAUAAUUAUUUUUUGUUAUUUUUUUUGUGUUUUGUAUUUAAAUGCUUUUGUUUAAUUGAUACACUUUUUUUAAUUUUUGAUUUUGAAUGCUGUCUUGUAUAUUGUACAUUUUGUUUAUAUAUGUGUUUUAUACUAAUUUUUUUUGUUUUAGAUUUUUUAUAUGUUUUUAUUUUUUCAAGUUAUUGCUUAUUUUGAUCUUUUUAUUUAUAUUAUAUGUCUUUUUUUGAUAUUGCGAUAUUUACUAUAUUUGUAAUGAUUUCAUUAAGUUUUGUAUAUUAUGGUUGUAUUAUAUUUUAUUUUUUUAAUAUUGAUUGUAUUAUGUUUUUUUGACGAAUAUUUUUGUUUAUAACUGUCGGAUUUUUAUUUUUUAUAUUUUCGGUAUGAUAUUUUAUUUGUUUUUAUAUAUAUAUAUUUAUGUUUGUGUGAAAUAUUGUUAUAUAUUUUAGAUAUAAUUUAAAGUAUUGUUUAUUUUUUUGUAUGUUAUUUAUAAUAUACAUUUAGUAGAGCUAUGCAAAUUUAAUUUUGAAUUAAAUUCAGUCUAUCAGAGUAUAUUUUAUUUAGAAAUUUAUAUUAUCUUUUAACUCCAAGUUUUUUAAGUAGUGUUUUGCUAUUUUUUGUUAGAAUAUUAAUUGUAAAAUACAUAAUUUAUCUAAAUAAUUAAUUAAUGAAAAGUAACUAAGACAAAAAAUGGUAUAAAAAGUAAAAUAAGUAUUAUAGAUAAUAGUUAAUUUUUAAUUUUAUUAUGCAAGCACAACGAAUUUAUUUUUAGUAAUAAUACGCCAAUAUGUUAUAUUUCCUGCCCAAUGAUUGUAUGAACAAUUUUUGUAUGAUAAAUAAGUCGCCCACACCACGAAAUAACAAAUUUUUGCACGCCACAACAAAUUUAUGAACGAGUUUCUGUAUGCCACAACAAAUUUAUGAACGAGUUUCUGUAUGCCACAACAAAUUUAUGAACGAGUUUCUGUAUGCCACAACAAAUUUAUGAACGAGUUUUUGUAUGCCACAACAAAUUUAUGAACUCUGUAUGCCACAACAAAUUUAUGAACGAAUUUCUGUAUGCCACAACAAAUUUAUGAACGAGUUUCUGUAUGCCACAACAAAUUUAUGAACGAGUUUCUGUAUGCCACAACAAAUUUAUGAACAAGUUUCUGUAUGACACAACAAAUUUAUGAACGAGUUUCUGUAUGACACAACAAAUUUAUGAACUCUGUAUGCCACAACAAAUUUAUGAACGAGUUUCUGUAUGCCACAACAAAUUUAUGAACGAGUUUCUGUAUGCCACAACAAAUUUAUGAACGAGUUUCUGUAUGCCACAACAAAUUUAUGAACGAGUUUCUGUAUGCCACAACAAAUUUAUGAACUCUGUAUGCCACAACAAAUUUAUGAACGAAUUUCUGUAUGCCACAACAAAUUUAUGAACGAGUUUUUGUAUGCCACAACAAAUUUAUGAACAAGUUUCUGUAUGACACAACAAAUUUAUGAACGAGUUUCUGUAUGCCACGAACAAAUUUAUGAACGAGUUUCUGUAUGACACAACAAAUUUAUGAACGAGUUUCUGUAUGACACAACAAAUUUAUGAACGAGUUUCUGUAUGACACAACAAAUUUAUGAAUGAGUUUCUGUAUGACACAACAAAUUUAUGAACGAGUUUCUGUAUGCCACGAUAAACAUAUUUAUAUUAUAUUAUAUUAUAUUAUAUUAUAUUAUAUUAUAUUAUAUUAUAUUAUAUUAUAUUAUUAUAUUAUAUUAUAUUAUAUUAUAUUAUAUUAUUUAUAUUAUUAUAUUAUUAUAUUAUAUUAUAUUAUAUUAUAUUAUAUUAUAUUAUAUUAUAUUAUAUAUUAUUAUAUUAUUAUAUUAUUAUUAUAUUAUUAUAUUAUCAUUAUUAUUAGAAUAUUUACUAAUAUAUAUAUAUAUCUAUAUCAAGCUUGUUAGAAAAAACUAUGUUUUUUCUAACAAGAUUGAUACUCUCGGUAUGG
rnacentral:misc_RNA from 1 species